GUGGGGAAUAUUGGACAAUGGGCGAAAGCCUGAUCCAGCCAUGCCGCGUGUGUGAAGAAGGUCUUCGGAUUGUAAAGCACUUUAAGUUGGGAGGAAGGGCAGUAAGUUAAUACCUUGCUGUUUUGACGUUACCGACAGAAUAAGCACCGGCUAACUUCGUGCCAGCAGCCGCGGUAAUACGAAGGGUGCAAGCGUUAAUCGGAAUUACUGGGCGUAAAGCGCGCGUAGGUGGUUUUGUAAGUUGGAGGUGAAAUCCCCGGGCUCAACCUGGGAACUGCCUCCAAAACUGCAUGACUAAAGUACGGUAGAGGGUAGUGGAAUUUCCUGUGUAGCGGUGAAAUGCGUAGAUAUAGGAAGGAACACCAGUGGCGAAGGCGACUACCUGGACUGAUACUGACACUGAGGUGCGAAAGCGUGGGGAGCAAACAGGAUUAGAUACCCGAGUAGUCC
rnacentral:rRNA from 1 species